rnacentral:rRNA from 1 species
UACGGGGGGGGCAAGCGUUGUUCGGAAUUACUGGGCGUAAAGGGCUCGUAGGCGGCCAACUAAGUCGGAUGUGAAAUCCCCAGGCUUAACCUGGGAACUGCAUCCGAUACUGGAUGGCUUGAAUCCGGGAGAGGGAUGCAGAAUUCCAGGUGUAGCGGUGAAAUGCGUAGAUAUCUGGAGGAAUACCGGUGGCGAAGGCGGCAUCCUGGACCGGCAUUGACGCUGAUGAGCGAAAGCUAGGGAGCAACGGG